ACAUUUAAAGAGUGCGUAAUAGCUCACUGGUCAAGUGGUAGAGCGCCGAAAAUGAACGGGGCUAAAAUCUAAUACCGAAGCUGUGGACUAAUUUAAUUAGUGGUAGAGGAGCAUUGUGUAAGGGGCGAAGCUAAGUUGGAAGACGAAGUGGACUUUACAGAAGAGAGAAUGCUGGCAUGAGUAGCGAAAAGGAGGGUGAGAAUCCCUCCCGUCGAAAGCCUAAGGAUUCCUGAGGAAGGCUCGUCCUCUCAGGGUAAGUCGGGACCUAAGCCCAGGCUGAAAAGCGUAAGCGAUGGACAACAGGUUGAGAUUCCUGUACUAUCUUUGAAUGUUUGAGAGAUGUACUGACGCAGGAGGAUAUGUUGAGCGUGUGAAUGGUAGAGCACGUCUAAGCAAGUAGAUAGAGAAUAGAGGCAAAUCCCUAUUUUUAAUAUCGAGAUGCGAUGGGGAGCGAAAAAUAAGUAGUGAAGCAACAGAUUCCAAACUGCCAAGAAAAGGUACUAUUGAGUGAGAAGAUACCCGUACCAAAACCGACACAGGUAGGCAAGGAGAGAAUCCUAAGACGCGCGGAAGAACCUUUGUUAAGGAACUCGGCAAAAUGACCCCGUAACUUCGGGAGAAGGGGUACCAUUAGAUGUGAGAUACUUUCGUAUGGAGCAUAGAGUGGUCGCAGAGAAUAGGCCCAAGCAACUGUUUACCAAAAACACAAGUCUCUGCUAAAUCGAAAGAUGAAGUAUAGGGGCUGACACCUGCCCGGUGCUGGAAGGUUAAGGGGAAAUGUUAGAGCAAUCGAAGCAUAGAACUUAAGCCCCAGUAAACGGCGGCCGUAACUAUAACGGUCCUAAGGUAGCGAAAUUCCUUGUCGGGUAAGUUCCGACCCGCACGAAAGGUGUAAUGAUUUGGGCACUGUCUCAACAAAGGAUCCGGUGAAAUUGUAGUAGUCGUGAAGAUGCGACUUACCCACGAUAGGACGGAAAGACCCCGUGGAGCUUUACUGUAGGCUGGCAUUGGAAUUUGGUAUUAAAUGUACAGGAUAGGUGGGAGACUGAGAAACGAGAGCGCCAGUUUUCGUGGAGUCAAUGUUGGGAUACCACUCUUUUGAUACUAAAUUUCUAACUUGAUACUCUGAAACGAGUAUAAGGACACUGUCAGUUGGGCAGUUUGACUGGGGCGGUCGCCUCCUAAAGAGUAACGGAGGCGUUCAAAGGUUCCCUCAGAAUGGAUGGAAAUCAUUCUAAGAGUGCAAAGGCAAAAGGGAGCUUAACUGCGACACCAACAAGUGGAGCAGAUAGGAAACUAGGACUUAGUGAUCCGGUGGUACCGAGUGGAAGGGCCAUCGCUCAACGGAUAAAAGCUACCCCGGGGAUAACAGGCUUAUCUCCCCCAAGAGUUCACAUCGACGGGGAGGUUUGGCACCUCGAUGUCGGCUCGUCUCAUCCUGGGGCUGGAGUAGGUCCCAAGGGUUGGGCUGUUCGCCCAUUAAAGAGGCACGCGAGCUGGGUUCAGAACGUCGUGAGACAGUUCGGUCCCUAUCCAUCGUGGGCGUAGGAAAUUUGAGAGGAGCUGUCCUUAGUACGAGAGGACCGGGAUGGACAGACCGCUGGUGUAUCAGUUAUCAUGCCAAUGGUAAUGCUGAAUAGCUAAGUCUGGAAGGGAUAAGUGCUGAAGGCAUCUAAGCACGAAGCCCCCCUCAAGAUGAGAUUUCCUGUUGC
rnacentral:rRNA from 1 species